UGGGUACACUCUUGGCUGGUGUUGCAAAGGCUCAUUCCCUCUGUGUGGAGCCCGAACCCAGAAAUGCUUGCCAAAAAUUCAAAGAACUACACAAAGGAGAGGUGAAGAGGUGCACGCUCUGAGAAAGUCCCUUCUCCUGGC